AAUCAACGCUGGCGGCGUGCCUAACACAUGCAAGUCGAACGAGAAAGGGGACUUCGGUCCCUGAGUACAGUGGCGCACGGGUGAGUAACACGUGACUAACCUACCCUCGAGUGGGGAAUAACUUCGGGAAACCGAGGCUAAUACCGCAUAAUACCCACGGGUCAAAGGAGCAAUUCGCUUGAGGAGGGGGUCGCGGCCGAUUAGCUAGUUGGCGGGGUAAUGGCCCACCAAGGCAGUGAUCGGUAUCCGGCCUGAGAGGGCGCACGGACACACUGGAACUGAAACACGGUCCAGACUCCUACGGGAGGCAGCAGUGGGGAAUUUUGCGCAAUGGGGGAAACCCUGACGCAGCAACGCCGCGUGGAUGAUGACGCCUUUUCGGGGGUGUAAAAUCCUUUUCAGCAGGGACGAACACAAUGACGGUACCUGCAGAAGAAGCAUC
rnacentral:rRNA from 1 species